rnacentral:rRNA from 1 species
CAGUAGCCGCGGUAAAACGAAGGGUGCAAGCGUUACUCGGAAUUACUGGGCGUAAAGCGUGCGUAGGUGGUGGUUUAAGUCCGUUGUGAAAGCCCUGGGCUCAACCUGGGAAUUGCAGUGGAUACUGGGUCACUAGAGUGUGGUAGAGGAUAGUGGAAUUUCCGGUGUAGCAGUGAAAUGCGUAGAGAUCGGAAGGAACAUCUGUGGCGAAGGCGACUAUCUGGGCCAACACUGACACUGAGGCACGAAAGCGUGGGGAGCAAACAGGAUUAGAUACCCGAGUAGUCCCUGUCUCUUAUAA